rnacentral:rRNA from 1 species
GACGAACGCUGGCGGCGUGCUUAACACAUGCAAGUCGAACGGUGAAGGGACCGGUUUUUGCUGGUUCUGGAUGAGUGGCGAACGGGUGAGUAACACGUGAGUAACCUGCCCCCUUCUUCUGGAUAACCGCAUGAAAGUGUGGCUAAUACGGGAUAUUCUGCGCCUGCUGCAUGGUGGGUGUGGGAAAGAUAUUGUUUCGGUGGGGGAUGGGCUCGCGGCCUAUCAGCUUGUUGGUGGGGUGAUGGCCUACCAAGGCGGUGACGGGUAGCCGGCCUGAGAGGGUGGACGGUCACACUGGGACUGAGAGACGGCGCAGACUCCUACGGGAGGCAGCAGUGGGGAAUAUUGCACAGUGGGAGGAAGCCUGAUGCAGCGACGCGGCGGGAGGGAUGGAGGCCUUCGGGUUGUAAACCUCUUUCGCCAGUGAAGCAGGCCUGUCCCUUUUGUGGGUGGGUUGACGGUAGCUGGAUAAGAAGCGCCGGCUAACUACGUG